rnacentral:lncRNA from 1 species
GCCGAUCCCCGGACGCGCGGCCCCCCCUCCCCGCGGCCCCGCGCGCCUCUCCCUGACACCACCCUCCGCGGCCCCCUCCCGACCCUCUGGCCCCCAGGACGCCCCUCCGGACCUCCCCUAGGAGAGGGGGCCCUCGCUAAGUCUCCGCCUUCCUGCCCUCCCCCCUGGCAAUGCCGCUGUCCAGAGCUCGCCGCCUUAGGACUGCCACUCCACCCAGGCCUCCUUCUCCUGGGACCCCCCUGGGCCCCACCCCCAGGACCUCCCACCUCUGCACGCCCUGAGUUCGCUUUUCCCAAUGCACUGGGCAGCUUGACUCCACGCCCACCUGACUGGACUGAGAAAACCGAAGAAGUUGGUGAGGGUACAGCAAUAAAUAGCAGGAGGAGCAGAAUUUGAAACAGCAGCAUGCCGGUCCUGCGCCUGGUGAAGGAUGACUCGCCAGAAAGCAAAGGCGCAGACCUACCUCCGCGAGCUUGGCGCGUGGCCCAGGAGGCUCCGCGAGCCCUUGUACGUAAGGAUCGUGGCGCCCACGCUUGAGAGCAGAGCUCAGUGCAAACUUCCAACAGUUCUUCCAGUUUCCAGGGAAACGAGAUUUGGAGCUGCUGCGCGUUGCAGAGCUGCCUCUCUGCUCCCCACAUGGGACCCCUGUGGCUGGCUGGUCUUGAGGAGGAAGGAAUUGAAGCCACCUCAUCCUUGAAGGAGAAUCAGAGAGAUGAUUGAUUCUCCAUGCCUGGCCUCUUUUGUUCCACGUAUGUUUGUGAAGUGUGUCCAUGACGCUGUACACAGCGAUAGCUCACUCAUUGCUGAUAAUGAAGCCCAGCAGCUUACCCAUUUCACUGCAGUAAACAACAUAUUGCUUCUUGUUUGUGUGUCCUGAAUCACGGAGACAUGCAGUUGAGUAACCUGGGGGUGAAAUCGCCCUGUCUGAUUAAUACCAUCUUUGUUUUUAUUUGCCUGUUUCCCGUUGAGGUGAAAUUUAUGUACAAUAAGAACCAUUGAUUUUUUAGCUGUACACUUCCAUGAGUUUGGACAGUUGUCUACAUUUAUACAAACGACCACCUCUGGACUCACUGCUGUUCCAGCUUCUGCAAAUGCUAAGCUCAGCGUUUCCCCACACCAGGUCCGUGUGCUAAAGGUUUUAUUACAGUAUUUCCUAUGCAUGGUUGCAUGCAGUGGACAAUCUUGUCUGCCUGGUUUCAGUGCCUUUCAGACUUGUCCAAACUCUUGCAAGAAUCGAUUGAAUGUACUUAUUGCUGAAUAGAAUUCUAGUAAAAAGUGUUUCUCCAUUCACGACAUGAUGGACAUUCCAGCUUUUUCUGUGGUGUGACUGAGCUACUACUCAAACGUGGUAUCAUGCAGGCUUAGGUCUGCAGUAGGAGUGGGAUUGCUGGCUUGCACCACACAGUUACGUUUAUCUUUCAAGAAAACAGAAGAUUGUUAACUAGAAUCAUUUUUCAUGCCCCCAUGUGUUCACUCCUGGGUUGUGUUCUUAGCAACACCGGGUGCUGUCAGCCUCCCUAGUGUGUUGGCCAGCCUGGCAUCCAUAUAUAGCUUCUCACUGUGGCUUUACUUUGCAUUGUUCAGUUAUGAAUGCUAUCAACACUUUCACUUAUUUUCAGUAAAGCAUGCAUGCAGGCACUCGCGCACACGCGUGCACACACACACACACACACACACACACACACACACACACACACACACCCUUGGUUAGCUUUUUAAAAAAUCAUGUGGUCUCUAUCUAAUUAUCAUUUUAUCAACAGUGAAUAGAAGCAUGACUACCUAAAAUUUGGCAUACUUUGGCCCUAUGGAUUCUCCUGUAAUGGUCUAAGCACGAAUUAUACUUUAUACGCCUAAUCUCUUAAAAAAAAAAAACUCAUCACUGUUCAAGCUAUAAGUUCAGCUAGACAACCAUAACUUCUCCAGUGUGGGUCUAGAUUUGUGCCACAGAAGGACCUCACAGUCUUUCUUGUAAUGUUCAUAGCUCCAGAGAGUUCUGCCAAAUAGGCAGCUGUCUUGGGAAAGACUUUUUUUUUUAAGUGUACAUGGGACAGCAUGACUCCAAGAAACACCUGCAUUGUAGUGGUUCUGGGCAUCCUAUUGUGGGAUUUGGAGCUCAGAUGCUAGCUUACUUGAAACAGAUAGGGAGUAUGACUCAGAAGCGUCAUCUUGAAGGGGUCUUCGGAGGUUGAAGUCUUGGUGAAGCUGGCCAUGCCCAAGUAAAAAUAAAUGAUAUAAACCUACAAUUAAAUAUAUUAAAAUAUGGAUAACAAAUACUUAAAGCAACAAUUUUCUAUCUUUACCAUACUUUUAUCUUAACUGUUUUCUGAAAUUGUAUCAAGUUAAAAAAAAUGUAUAUUCUGUCUCUCCCAACCCCUUGCUCAGUGGCUCUGGGUGAUGGCUUGUGAUUUGCAUAGCAGGAGAAUUUAUACCACAGAAAUGAGCCAGCAAUGCAAAUCUGACUGGGGCUGCUUAUGUAGCUUACUUGUAAAGUGAAGGGCAAGAUGAGCGAUGCAGACCAGAGAUGGGUGGACACCAGACUGCGGCUGUAGCCACCAUUUUAAAUUCUGAACACAUUUCUUCUCGUGUUUUGGGAGCUAUCACCUGUGCAGUAAUAGUAUGCACAUUGUACAUCUCUAAUGAAAGGCAUUUCAACAUGAUUCCCUCUUGUCCUCCCUGGAACUCAUCAACUUAUGUGAAAACAGCACACAACAUCCGAAUCAGAGCAGCACCCUCUUGUCAGCGACGGGAGCAAGCAUUUUGCUGAGUCAGAUGUAAUCAGGGUUUAUUCAUGUCCUAAUUUUGCAAUACUGUUGUCAGUGAGAGUUAGAAAAACAGUGGAUUUUGCAAGAAAUAGCAAGUCACAUUGAAGUUAUAAAAUAAAAAGCAGAUAAGUGCUCUCGUUUAAAAUGUUAUUUCCAAACUUGUAUAAGAAAAUGCUAAUGAAAUAUUUUCAAUUUUUAAAAUUGCA